rnacentral:rRNA from 1 species
AUUGAACGCUGGCGGCAGGCUUAACACAUGCAAGUCGAACGAUGAAACUCUAGCUUGCUAGAGAUGAUUAGUGGCGGACGGGUGAGUAACAUUUAGGAAUCUGCCUAGUAGUGGGGGAUAGGCUCGGGGAAACUCGAAUUAAUACCGCAUACGACCUACGGGUGAAAGGGGGCGCAAGCUCUUGCUAUUAGAUGAGCCUAAAUCAGAUUAGCUAGUUGGUGGGGUAAAGGCCCACCAAGGCGACGAUCUGUAACUGGUCUGAGAGGAUGAUCAGUCACACCGGAACUGAGACACGGUCCGGACUCCUACGGGAGGCAGCAGUGGGGAAUAUUGGACAAUGGGGGCAACCCUGAUCCAGCCAUGCCGCGUGUGUGAAGAAGGCCUUUUGGUUGUAAAGCACUUUAAGCAGGGAGGAGAGGCUAAUGGUUAAUACCCAUUAGAUUAGACGUUACCUGCAGAAUAAGCACCGGCUAACUCUGUG